rnacentral:lncRNA from 1 species
UCAAGUCUCAUACCAUACAAAUACUAAAAAUAUCUCAGCAUAGAUGAGAGCCAGGAUCAAAUCAAAGUUUGUGACAAAACUUGUCUAGAAUGAUGAGAAUUUACCUUGAAUCCUCCAUUUCAUGCAGUUUCCUCCCAUUUUCUUAUGUUGACGAGGAAAUUUUCCAAGUCAACUAAACUGUUGACACCAUUUUUUUGAUUGAAAAACAGGGUCGACUUGGGUUUUGAAAAUGAAAACGGGAGUCGCCACCAGUCUUUUUUAUAAGGUGUUAUUGGAUCACCUUGCAAAGCGGUUGUUUUUAAUAAACAAUUUAAUUUUAUUAAAACAACGAUUUUGGUCCACGAAAUUCAAAAAACGGGUUCAGGAGUCGGUUACGCACGAGGAAGGAUUAGCACCCUCGAUACGCCCAAAAUUGGUACUUAGUUGAUUACUUAAAAUUUUUUUUAUUUUCGUUUUUUGGCAAAUGUAUACUGUUUUUUUAUAUAUAUGUAAAUAUAUGUAUAUAUAUAAAUAUAAAAAGAACAGAUGCAAAAAAAGAGAUGUGAAAAAGAAACCUUGAAACUUGUUUUUUUUUUAUUUCUUUUAAAGUUCUUGUACCAAAAUCUAAAAAAAAAAACCCCUAAAAUACAUUUUUCGUUGGCUUUUAUAGCCAAUCUUUGCUACCGUUUCUUGUCUUUUCUUCUUUGAUUUUACAAGUGCAAGUGGGCGGUGGAAGGCAAGUGAUGGGACAGUGGCGGUGGCACUAGGUCGGCGACCAGCAGGGCAGAGAAGACCCUAGGUGCAGCGCACCUAGGGUUUGAAAAUUUUUAAUUUUUUGUUUCUGAUUUGGGUUUCUGGGCUAGGGUUAGAUUUGGGCUUAUUAAGCUUUUUGUUUUCUGAUUUGGGCUGUGGUGUAUUGGGCUAGGCUAGUUGGGUCUGGGGCUGUUUGGUUAGGGUAAUGGGUUGUUUGUAAUUGGGCCCCGGGUCAAAAAUUGGGCCCUACAUAAACUGUUCAGUAAAUAAAAGAUUAAUGAUGCGAUCGGUCUUAUUAAAUCGUUUCAAGAUUUUUUUUAGUGGCAAUUACUAAUUACAAGUGGAAACACGAAAUGAAAC